GGGAAUUUGUGAAAUGCUACCCUUCCACACCUUUUAGCAAGAGAAUUCUGACAGGCUGGAGAGGUGGGAAGGUGUGAGACUCUGGCUCGUCCAGAAGGGAACUGUAUACAUUUACUCCUGUACAUCCUUGCUCUAGCAAAGGGGCAAAGGCCAGAAAAUGGAAUUCUAAGUUGUCACGACCCUCAGAUUAUAGAUUCCUCUUCUCCAGAGGGUGAAAUUGAGGGCUCUGAGUCAGAGAGUGAAUUGCACAGAGGGCCACACCUAGAAACAUGUAUGUAUGUAUGUAUGUAUGUAUGUAUGUAUGUAUGUAAUUUAUUCCAUUUCUCUCCUGCCUUUCCCCCAAGGAGCUCAAGGCAGGGUACAGUUUUCCUCCUUCUCCAUUUUAUCUUUACAACAACAACCUUGUGGCAGUGGCAUAGCAUGGGUUUCUAGCUCCCGGGGCCAUGCAGAGAGGGGUGAGUGGCAAAUAGAUGGACUACACAUGCACAUUCAACUGCAUAAUACUGUCCUCCUCACCCUGGAGAUGGCAGCCGCAGAGAUAAGAAGAAAAGAGGCAUUCUAUUGAUGGGAGAGGUCACUUUGUGGUUCACAUGGAAAUUCCGUUUUCAAUGGAGCCCAGCCACAGAAGCGCAGAGCGGUAUUAAGACAGCACCGGGUGUUGAAAUUUCACGCCCCUAACAAUUUUGUGCCUGUGGCAACUGCCUCUGUGCCCCCAUGCUACACCACUGCCUUGUGGGUAGGUUAGGCUGAGAGUAAUGACCCGCUGAAGGUCACCCAGAAAACUUCAUGGCUAAGUGGAGGAUCUGAACUCUACAGUUCUAUGAUUCCAUGAUUCUUUGGGGGAAACCUUGACGCUUUAAAGUGGUGAUACACUGCUCUGAAUGUAUAGUGGUCUUCCUCCAUUAUGUUCUGCCUCCAUUUCAGAACUGGACUUUUUUCUGGUAGUGUGCAAUCUGAAGGUGACUUACAGUACUUAGCAAAGGGCCAGUUUGAUUUAGUGGCUUGGAUCCAGAAACCAUAACCUCUAAUCCCAAUACAGUUGAGCGCUGACCGGGUGGCCUUAGGUCAGUCAUCACUCACCUUCAGGCUGCUGUCUGGAAACAUGGGAUUAAUAAUAACCUGUCUGUGAGGCUUGCCAUGGGACUAUCUGAAAUAAGAAAGCAUUCAUCUUUAUUACCAUUCUAAGCCUGGGAGCUGAAGAAAAAAUUAAGCCAGGUCCUACACAUGAUAUGGGAAUCUGGGUUGUAUUACAGUAAUACCUCCGUGAACAUCCGCCUUGUCUAGCGUCCAUUCCGGCGAAUGUCCAUGACAAACCUGGAAGUACCGGAAUGGGUUACUUCUGGGUUUGCUGCUCGCAUAUGCGCAGAAAUGCUAAAUCAAGCUUCGCACAUGAGCAGAAGCGAAAACCGCUCUGUGUGCAUGCGCAGAUGCGGCGCUUUGCCCUGCGUCCUUUUCGGCUAGUGGCCGGGGCUCCGGAAUGGAUCCCAGCCGCAAAACAAGGUAUGACUGUAUUAUUAUUAUUAUUUCUUUGGGGGUUUUCUUUUUGUAAUGAGAAGAGACAUUUUGGAAGGGUGGCUUUUGUAAUAUUUUCUCCAAAAUUCCAGGUCUUUUGCCACCACUUCUGGUUCGGUAGGACCACUUUGUGUGGCUUGAGCAAUGCCCCAACAGAGCAGGUGGCCAUGUUUCACCCCAGGUCUCUUCAGAUUCUGUGGGAUUCUGAUGGAGUCUAUUCUUAGGCCCAUUAUCAUUUAGGCUAGCAUCACAUACGCAAGAAAGCGACCUGACCACAAGAAUGGUAAGAACCAGUUAAAGGGGAAAUUAACAUGCUUCUACUCUGUAACCAGGACAACACAGGUUUGUACAUUUAAGAAAGGCCUUGUAAGUUGCCCUUACAAACUGAGCUACGGUCCUUGACAAUCGAUGGAUGACCCGGAGGUCUAGUAUUAUGAAGGAGAAUUCCCACUCCAACCUCUCCGCUGUUUCUGAUUGUAUAUAUUUGCAACAUAUCCCUCGUCUAGAAUCUGUUUUCUCGACGAAAAGCGGCUUCAGCUAUUCCCUGUAGAGAAGGUUCACCAAUCUCCUGAGAUUCAGCUGCUCUUUUCUGUCAGUUUUCCAGCUUCAUGACACAAGUUGUGUGAUCUGGUGUAAACUGCUAUUCAUAGCUGUCAGUGUUGACUAAAAAUGCAGGAGAGGUCUGCCUGCCAGCUGCCUAAACUGGGAAGCGUACCAGAGAGUUGGGCAAAUUGUGAAAUGCCUUGUUUUCACGAUGCCAAGACUUUUAGUCUUCUGCAUCCAUGUAAACCGAUGCUGUCACCUGUCAUUUGCACAGUUACUUCAUGCCGUGCUCUUAACUUGCCGUGUGAAAGAGCUGCAAAGUUGCCAAGGUGAGCUGAAGUUUUGCAGAAGGAGGUGGCUUUUUCUAGGAAAGCUCUGCCCUCACCAUGUAUGUGCAAUGGUCAGUGCCGGAUUUACAUAUAAGCUAAACAAGCUAUAGCUUAGGGCCCCACUCUCUUGGGGGCCCCAAAAAAAAAUUAAAGGAAAAAAACAACUGUAUGUACAUUUCCAAACCUAUCCAUUCUUAAGGAAAUCAGCCCUGAGUGCUCACUGGACAGACAAAUCCUGAAGCUGAGGCUCCAAUACUUUGGCCACCUCAUGAUAAGAGACGACUCCCUGGAAAAGAACCUGCUGUUGGGAAAGAUUGAGGGCACAAGAAGAAGGGACGACAGAGGAUGAGAUGGUUGGACAGUGUUUUUGAAGCUACCGGCAUGAGUUUGACCAAACUGUGGGAGGCAGUGGAAGACAGGAGUGCCUGGUGUGCUCUGGUCCAUGGGGCCAUGAAAAGUCGGACAUGAGUAAACAACUAAACAACAACAACAACAAAAACAUUGGCUGCAGCCCACCAUAGGAUUUUAGCCUUGUAGCCCAAAUGAAGUGUCCAUGAAUAGAAGCCCACUGAAUGAGCCCAGAUUUUUGGCAACAAGCAAUGGGAGCAAGUUCCUGCCUUCAUAUUAUUUAUUAUCUAUUGCAUUUAUAUCCCACCUUUUUCUCCAAGGAACUCAAUGUGGUCUGCAUGCUUCUCCUCCUCCUCAUUUAAUCCCCACAGUAGCCCUGUGAGAUGGGUGAGGCUGAGAGUGAGUGACUGUUAUUCAUUGAGCUUCAUGGCCCAGUGGAGAUUCAAAAUCUGGUCUUCCAGGUCCUCUUCCAGGACUCUAACCACUACACCACAUGGUUUGUACCCUACUUGAGUUUCCCAAUCAGUUGGAAAGAGGAUGCUGUUUUGUCUAAUGAUCACUGUUUUAUCCUUAUUGCUUUACCAUGUUUUGGUUUCGGUUUUAUGCCAUAAGCCAGCUCAGGAAAAUGUUGAUGAAGAAGGGAAGAUAUCAACUGAUGAAAUAAACACAUACACAGACAAACAAACUCAGCAGGGCAGAGCUUAUAUUCUUCCACCACUGCAGAGAUCAUCUCUGGAAAUGGCAUGCAUCUUUCCCCGCUCAGAGGUAUAGGUGAGCUCUUCCCACCCAGUGAUAAAAAUAAUGGGAUGGGGAAUUUUAUUAGCUGUGGAUGGAAGAUGUUUCCACUUCAAGAGUUUCUCUGCUGUACAGCACUUUUUAUUCCUUCUUUCAUAGCUGCUGGGGAGGGGCACAUUGACAAACUGGAAAGUGUCCAGAAAGGGGUUUUUAGGUUAGUGGGGAGUCUGAAAGCCACAGUGUAUGUGGAAGAGUUGUAAGCACUGGGUUUGUUUUACACAGAGAAGAGAUGACUAAAUAUCUGAAGGUUGUCAUGCAGGAAGAUGGAGCAAACCUGUUCUCUUUUACUCCAGAGGCUGUCCUAUGUGUGAAAAUGGGACUUUUUUUUUAGCUAAAUAUUUGGUGAAACUGCCUUAAAAAUGAAGAAUAAUUAAAUAAAUGUUAGAGUUGUGGAACUGACUGCCUCAGGAGAUAGUGAAUUCUUCUUCCCUGGAGACAUUUUAAGCACAUCUUGGCUGACCAUUUCUCACAGAUGCUGUGGUUCAACGGCCAGGGAGUUGGACUCGAAGGAAUUGUCAGGAGUUCAGCCUACACUUGAGUAGGACCCUGGCAGAGACACAUGCCUGACUGGCAUGUUUCCUCCCUCCUGAUCAAUCGUUCAGGAGCUUCAAAAGCUUUCUUCAGCCCAAACAUCACAGCAACUGAUGCCAACCGACACCGGCACACUUAGGGAUCCGCCGAGUUUGCGCAGUUGCGUAACAGACCUCAGCAACUCAGCAUUUUGGCUAAUCUACUUUAUUUACAUAUAAACACACGUGGAGCACUGCAACAUGGCUCCUCUCUCUCUCUACCAUCAGACAGCAGAGAGAAAAGAACAAAGGACAAUAGUCCCACUUCAUGGAACACAGUAACACAAACAUCCUGUCUCCGUCACUUCCCACUCUGUGCAGUCAAAACACAUACCGUCAUGUGAAAGACAAAAAUCCCAUGAUUGCAAUCAUAGAUUAGGAAUUCUAACAGGAAUUCCUAUCCCAAUCUUCCUCUCCAAGGAGCCCAUCUCAGAUAACACCCAAGAUCCUCCCUCCAACUCUAAAAAUAUUAUAUUACCUCCACUGUUCAUUUUGGACAAGACAAUGGCUGGAUUUCCCCAGACAGUGAGCACUGAAGUAUUUGACCCUCUGGGUUCUGAACGUUUCCCUAUGAAAGCAUCAAUGAAAUCUGGUAAAAUGUUCAGUUAGCUAAGGAGAAGAAAGUUGAAAUUAUUAGCAAACCAUACUAAGAGCAUAUUUCUUCCCAAAUGUAUUCCAAUCCGGCUUGCUCGCUUCUGCAACGUUUUGCUAUUCAGUGCCAUCCCUCUGAUGCAGAAAUUAAAUAAAAGGUCUCCAAAAGGAUACAUUUGCAUUCCUCAAUACCUAACAGUUAGGAGGAACUUGAAAUUGUAUCAUAAAGAGUAAUGGCACGGCAGUAACUCCCCUUAUUUCACACCUCCACAUGUGAAGUUCAGAAUGGCCCGUUUUCUUCCCCCAGUAACAACUUUAUGGGACUCCUUUCCAAUCUCUGACUAUGAUGAGAUAGUAAAGUCCAGUUCCUACAGUAAAGACUUCCCAGCAAAGACUUCCCUCCUUGCUGGAGUGCACUUUCAAGAGCGGCAGUUGAGAUGAAGAUCGUAAGAAUGUAAGGAUCUCUUUCUCCUAGGAAUUAAAGAGACAGAAGUUCCAAAAAGAAGAUGACUAAUUUGUUUAUAGAGGGAUGCGGGUGGCACUGUGGGUUAAACUACAGAGCCUAGGACUUGCCGAUCAGGAGGUCAGCGGUUCGAAUCCCUGUGACGGGGUGAGCUCCCGUUGCUCGGUCCCUGCUCCUGCCAACCUAGCAGUUCGAAAGCACGUCAAAGUGCAAGUAGAUAAAUAGGUACCGCUCUGGUGGGAAGGUAAACGGUUUUCUGUGCACUGCUCUGGUUCGGCAGAAGUGGCUUAGUCAUGCUGUACAUCGGCUCCCUCAGCCAGUAAAGUGAGAUGAGCGCCGCAAACCCAGAUUCAGCCACGACUGGACCUAUUGGUCAGGGGUCCCUUUACCUUUACCUUUAAUUUGUUUUUGCUAUGUAACAACAGUGGCUAGGAUUCUCUGCACACAAAAAAAUGGAAGGAAGAAGAAGUUCCCACCAAUAAAAGAAUGGAUAAGUGUAAUAAUUAUAGGGGUUGCUCGUGCGUAAGUUGCUGCCACUCCUGGCUAGGUUGCCUGGUUAAACCUUUUCUGUCUGGACAGCCCUUCACUUCGUGGCUGUUUCAGUCGCUAGCAGAAUCCGUCAGUGGGCGUUUCUUAAACCUUUUCCAGCAUAAAAGCUGUUUGACGCCAAGUCUCCUCCUACUCUCCCUGUGCGGAAGUCUUCUGCGCAGGGAGGGUGUGGGUAGCGGAGGACCCGUGCUCUCCCCGCUGGUCUCCGGCGAGGAGUCCUGGAGCCCCUCGCCGAUUCCCCAUCUGCCCCCUUUAUCCCUGGUGUUACGCUGAUUUCCUUCCCCAGCUGAUGAGCUGCGUCUCUCCCUGCUGGGCCCUUCUCCAGCAUCGCUUGGGAGCCUUGCCUCCGCCUCUGGCUCCGAUGUUAGUUCUCUGACAAUAAGUAAGGUGUUGGACUAUGAAGAGAGGGCAAAAGAAGAGAAUCUAAUGAUGAUUGCUUUGCAGAAGAAUGGAAGCCCUUUCUGGACUACUCAAGAGAACAUUAGAGGUUUUUUAUAAAAAUAUAUAUUAAAUUUUCACAAUUGAACAGUAAAUAUAAACCACAGAAAUAAUAAUAAUAAUAAUAAUAAUAAUAAUAAUAAUAAUAAUAAUAAUAAUAAUAAUAAUGGAAUAUUACAGUUUGAAGAACUCAUGAGCAGGAUUUGAAAUAUGAGCUGCGGAAAGAAUUUGAGAACAUAGUACUGAGGCAUUAAGAAUUAGAAGACAAUGUGCAGCUGGUGGGGGAGAGGAUUAAAACACAAUGGAAAAUGGGGUGGGAAGUUGAGAAAAAUCCCAAGAGCCAUGUUUUAGACAUUUUUUGUUGUUGUUAAAAAAAAGAGAUUGCCCAAGAUUUUAACUGAUUUUAUAUCUACUGCCUUUCGCAUUUUUCCUGUUGCUACGAUAAGGUUACCAGAUUUUUCCCAAUGAAUCCGGGGACACUUUUCAACUUCAAUGGAUCUUGUAUGGGGACUGAUUUGUAAAUCUGGGGACUGUCCCCGGGAAACAGGGACGUUUGCUAACCUUAUGCUACAAUAAUUGCUUUUGCUAUUGAUGUUUUUUGAUCUGCUUUAUAUUUGAUUUAAUGGUUCUUUUUUGUAAGCUAUUUUGGAAAUUGCGAUUAAUAAAAUGAAAAAAAAGAUAAAUUUAUAGAAUCAUAGAAUCAUAGAGUUGGAAGAGACCACAAGGGCCAUCGAGUCCAACCCCCUGCCAAGCAGGAAACACCAUCAGAGCACUCCUGACAUAUGGUUGUCAAGCCUCUGCUUAAAGACCUCCAAAGAAGGAGACUCCACCACACUCCCUGGCAGCAAAUUCCACUGUCAAACAGCUCUUACUGUCAGGAAGUUCUUCCUAAUGUUUAGGUGGAAUCUUCUUUCUUGUAGUUUGGAUCCAUUGCUCCGUGUCCACUUCUCUGCAGCAGCAGAAAACAACCUUUCUCCCUCCUCUAUGUGACAUCCUUUUCUAUAUUUGAACAUGGCUAUCAUAUCACCCCUUAACCUCCUCUUCUCCAGGCUAAACAUGCCCAGCUCCCUUAGCCGUUCCUCAUAAGGCAUCGUUUCCAGGCCUUUGACCAUUUUGGUUGCCCUCCUCUGGACACGUUCCAGUUUGUCAGUGUCCUUCUGACAGUUUGUCAGUGUCCUUAUGAUGUACUGAAAAUUAAUUUUGAAAAAUGAAUAGAAAUUUAUCACAAAAGGGAGAAAAGAAUGUAAGAAGAGCUUUGCUUGCUGGAUCAGGCCAAAGACCCAUCUAGUCCUACUCUACCAAGCAAUAAUUCAGAAAGUGGUAGACUCUCCUUUCUUUGAGGUUUUUAAGCAGAAGUUAGAAUAAUAGAAUUGUAGAGUUGGAAGGGACUCUGAGAGUCACCCAGUCCCAACCCCCGCAGUGCAGAACUCUCAACUAAUAUCAUCCAUGACAGUUAACCAUCCAACUUCUGCUUAGAAACCUCCAAGGAAGGAGUGUCUACCAUCUUCUGAAGGAAUCCCUUCUAUUGUUGAACAGCUAUUAUUGCCAGAAAGGUCUUCUGAACUUUCCCUAGAUCUGAAAAACACACACACCUACAUCCUUGAUCCAUUGUGUCCAUGAUUAGGUCCUCAGGAGAACCAUGGCAUCCAAUUCAGGCUCUGAAGUAAUUGUUUAAUGUUUGGUUUUCUGAUCCCAGUUCCACAGUGAACCAGAUGUAGACAUCCUUUGCCCACCACCAAUCAAAGUCAUGAAAAUGUGAAAAUGACUGGAAGAGAAAUACUCCUUCCACCUUUAAAGCAACCCUCUGUAGUGUCCAGUGCCAGAUUUACGUAUAAGCUAAACGAGCUAUAGCUUAGGGCCCCAUUCUCUUGGGGGCCCCAAAAAAAAUUAAAGGGAAAAAAAACCUGGAUGUACAUUUCCAAAAUAUAAAAAACAAAUAAAAUAAAACCUACAUACAGCAACAUUGUUUUGUGUUGUGUAGGCUCCUAUGAUGUAAGUCAUGGGCCCCGCCUGCUAGCCUGCUCCCUAAAAUAUCACGGCUUUGCUCAUUUCUAUAUAUAGGGUGCCUACAUUCUGAAUGGAAUGUAUUUCGGUUCAACACUUACUUUGAUAAAAUUGACUCUGUGCCAGUCUGAGCCAAAUCAGGCUGUUUUAUAAAGCACCAAAUCAGGCUCCAUCUCCAUUACUGUGCUUACUACACACCACUUUGAUAUAAGAGUAAUUGCUGCUGCCUUGCAUCCGUAGAUAUGCUUUUCUCUUUGGUGCUUACAGGGCAUUCCUGGUUUUUUCCCAUUUCAUCCCACUGAGACCUCUGCAAAGUAGGUCAGCCUCAUAUAACCAUGGCUGAGCUCUGCAUCUUCCCAGUUCAUGGCUGAGCAGGGAUUUGAAUACAGAUCUCAUUUCUCAUGUGUGAUGUUCUCUCCAUAUCACCACACUAUGCUAUGCUGCUACUCUGCAUUCAGCUAGGGUGGAUUCUGUCUUGGUGUACCUGCACAGUGACCAGAAGGACCACAAGCCAGUGCCAUCACUCUAUCCUUGUUGCAGUAGGCACAUCAUAGGCCAUCUACACCUGUCCCAGUUCAUGUCCUCCCCAUGACCAUGGUUGCCACCUGGUGUAUGUACACAAUCCUCUUCCCUUUUGUGACUGCCACUUGGCGGAUAAAUCGUAAACUGCAACUCCAAACUCAUACAUCAAUUUCUCUCCGAACCCUUUGACCAGUGGUUCUCAACCUUCCUAAUGCCGCGACCCAUUAAUACAGUUCCUCAUGUUGCGCAAAUGGCUUUAGAUACCUAUUAUGUCCAUAAAUUACCGUAUAGCAUAUAUUCAGCACAAAAAACAGUGGCAAUUUGUUGUUGACAAAGGACAGCUGGACAUAUAAAGGGCCCCAUUACCUUCAGUAGCUCAGGGCCUCAUCAAACCUAAAUCUGGCCCUGGUAGUGUUGGAGGAAGAAGAAGAAGAAGAGGAGGAGGAGGAUGAGGAGGAGGAAGAGGAAGAGGAAGAGGAAUUUGGAUUAAACAUGUGGCUCCCUUGAUCACAUUUCAUUUAGAAAACUAUACAUUUCCCACUACCCUUUAGCCCAACGAUUGUGGCACCUGUAUCGCUUCCUCCGGCUACCAGAGCACUUGGUAAAAUUGUUCCUCAACAUUUGAACUCAACAUUUUAAUUUUAGUUCAAAGAACAGUGCAUGAUUAUUAACAUUUUCUCUCAACCAGAUACUCCUGCACUUUACGGUCUUAAUGAAAAGCUAAUUAAUUUUCCCCCCCUCCUGAGCUGUUGUAAUUUCUCCCCCCCCCGCCCAACUUGCUGAUUUCCAAUUUGACAUUCUGCAUUAAUUAGAUAAGAGGAGAAGCCGAUGGGAGGGGGCUUUAAUUGCCUCAGAAAGGGGGAGGGGAUUUAAUUCCCGACAAAACGUCUUUAUCUUCUAUCAAAGGUGAGCAAGGCAGAAAUUAACUGCCAAUGCAAGAACUCCCACCCCCACUCCCCGCCCACGGCGAAAACUUAUCUAGCAUGAAAUGCCACGCAGAAAGCAUGUUUGCCUUGCUCCGGGAUCUCUUGGGUCUCUCAGAGUUUGUUCUCUUGAACAAGAUGAAGAGAUGCAUUGCAAUUCCACACGGAAAUGAGCGCUUGAGCUCAAACCAGGGAAAUCCAUAAGUACACGCUUAGCUUCGCAGAGGUGAAUGGUCGGGGUUGCAAAUUUCUAUGUAUUUCCCAUGAGGUUAUAGCCCUGUCAGUUUCAUAUAAUUAUAUAUUUUGUAUAGAUCUUAGAGGCUGAAAGCUACAGGAGAAGUUUCUGUCCACUUAAUGGAAGGCUUUUAGUGUUCCUUGAAAUUCCUGCAGGUCUGUUGCUUAACCCUUCUUAAUUUGCCUCAGAGGGUCUUGCACAUAAAAAAAAAAUGAGGGCCCCUGUAGUAUGCAAAUGAUUAAAGAACGCCAGUGCUCCUAAGAUUUUGUGCAGGGAUGAAAAGGGAGAAAGCCUAAAUGGUGCACAGAAGAGAAUUUAGUGGCCAACGUGUUACAAAUUCAGAAUCUUAGGACUUCCGGGUUAGCGCCAUCGGCGAAUGGCGGAGUUCCUCCCACUGGAGGAACUGGCUCCGUGGAAACUGGGUCUUCCCGCCGCGGCGAAAGUGGGGACCCGCUAGAAAUACCAGGCGGAGGAAGCCUGGGAAUGUGGGGUUCGGCAGGGCACCAGGAGCGCCCCCCUACUCACGGGGAACCCCUUUUUGGGAUUCCAGAGUGAAGUGGGGUGAGUGGCGCAGUGCUGCGAACUGACUGCUACUUUCACGGAGUGAAGCCGCACAGCCAUCGCCGGAGAGCGCUGACUUUUUCCUGUGGACAAUUGGAUCUAAAACAAGUACCCGUGAGUAGAAACGGAAAAUUGGAUCAAGAAAUAUCUUAAUUUGACAUCGAAGCAGGAAGGUUCAAAACAGGAAGUCCGCCUUCCGCUUUUUGUAUAUAGACUGAAGCAAAAACCUUGUAAGCUAAAGCCUGGAAAGUCGUUAAAAAAGCCUAAAUUUCCUUCAUUUAUAACUACUGAAACCCCCUUGGAAGCAGGAGAACGGGGGGUGGGCCGUUGGGUAACGCCUGCAGGAGAGGGAGUGAAGAAAGAUAAGUUUCCACCGUCUCUAACCUGGGAACGGGGUGUCAGAGACAGAAAUUGUUGGAGAGGUUCAUUGACUGUGAAUGGAAUACUUUGACAGAUAGCUAAAGAAGAGAAAUAAACUGAUUCCAAUGUUGCCUUUUGCAUUCUAAAGAAACAAAAUAUCUGAAAAAAUGAAAGUAAUUUUCCUUUGUUGGACUUGCCUUAAAAAGAUGGAUACAAAUAGAAAUUGUCUCCUCUAGAGGAGCUUGCUAAAUUGUUGCUGCAGUCUACUUGAGGACUCCACAGCUGUGAGAUUAAGAUCGUGGGAUUAGUCCUUUUGACCUUGACUAAAUAUGAGCUGGAAGGAAGUUUUGGUGCUUGCUUUAUGCAAGACAAGUGCUUUGUUGGAACAGAUGCAUGAGAAGAUGGAUUUGAUGAAUGAGAAAAUGGAUUCGAUGACUUGUGUGGCCAAUAACUGUGGACAAUUAGUGAAUAGUGAUACAGAAACCAUCCAGGGUCCAACUCAGGAACCUGUAUUGAUUGGGCAAGUGCAGAAGAUAAUGGAGGAGGCUGCGGUUGCACCUUAAAUAAUACAAAUGGAGAGGCCCAAGGCCCUACAGGAGCAUAAGCCACUGUUUUUGAAGACUGAAGUUGGAGUGGGCCAGGGGGAAUCUGGAGCUGAGGAGGCUUUUAACUUUGGAGAGACUUCGAAAUAUGCCCGUAAAUAUUUUUUGGAUUAUAUUGAUGACUGUGGGGAGUGGGACUGUGGGGAAUAGGCUGGUUUGAUGAGGGAGACGGAGAUAACUUUGGGUUGGAACCCCCCAGAGACCUACUCCUCAAUGAGAAAGGAAAGAAAUUAAGAAAGAGACCAACAAAAGACAAGGAAAAGUGCAAGUAUAAACAAGAAGAAGAAGAUCUGCAGAAGGGACAUGGAAGAGACUUAAGGGCCUCGGACAUAAGGCUUCCAGGUUGAUGGACUAGAUGGAAUGGACAGUAAGGACUGACACAACCCGAGACCAGGAAGAAGAGACGUUGGAUGAAGAUUGGAAGAAAAUUUAUAAAGAAAACUUUUUAUUUAGGGAAUUAGCCUAAAAUUAAUGAAUAUUAGGGAAAAUGUUGGAAUGAAACUAUAUGACUCUAGCAGAAAUGAUAUCAGGGGUUAUGUAUAACUGAGUAUUAAGUUUCAAGCUUUAAGGUAUUUUAUGGUAAGAUAAGGUUAAAUAAAUUAAGGUAAUUUGAAUAACAGAAUAUGGGGAAAGAUGGAAAGGAUCUGUCGAGUUAAUUAAUAGGUUAAAUUGUUAAGAUAAAUUAUUUAAUAAAAAUUGAGAAAGAUGGAAAGAAUUUGCUGAAAUAACUAACUAAACUAGAAUACAAAAAGGGAGGUGUGAGGAGGUCAACGAAACAAGCAAAUGGAAGUUAAAGAUAUGCAAUAAGGGAUUUGUGUCUUUUUCCCCCCUUUUUAUAUUUUUUUUUACUGUAUUGUUGUAUUGGUUUUUAUGUUUUGCGUUUUCUCUUCUUUUUAUGUAUUGUAGUGUUGUUUUUUAUUUUUUAUUUUUCCCCUGUAAUUCUGAAAUUAUUAAUAAAUAUUAUUAAAAAAAACCAAACAAAUUCAGAAUCUUGCUCGGGGCUGAUUCCGAUUCAGCUCUUUGCAGGAAAACCAAAACAGUUUUGCAAUUAGAAUUGGGGCAGGAGAGAGAGAGAGGGAGGGAGGGAGGGAGAGAACAAUAAAUUAAGUAAAGUAUAUUCACUUUUAUUAGAUAGGAAAACAGACUGGUAUGGAAUGACAGCAUGGGAAUAUACCUAUUUGCUUGCAAUUUUGCAGGCUGUAUCCACUCUGUAGGAUAAAUGAAGCAGAUGCCAAAACUGUAAAGGCUGCCCUUGGGGAAACACCUUGCAGCUAUCCUGAAAUUUGGUCAGAUUCAGGAUCUUGGAAGGGGCGAAGUUGCCUGCAAAUUUCAUGCAUUUCUGUGAAGUGGGGGGGGGUUAUAAUGUCCCAAUUUCGAAGGGAAUUCAGGCAGGCUCUGUGCCAGCCUGAGCCAAAUCAAGCUGUUUUAUAAAGUACCAAAUUAGGCUCCCUCCCGUUACUGUGUUUACUGCACACCAGUUUGAUAUAAGAGUAAUUGCUGAUGCCUUGCAUCCGUAGAUAUGCUUUUCUCCUCAGCACUUAUAGGGCAUUCCUGGUUCUUUCCCUUUCAUCCCACUAAGACCUCUGCAAAGUAGGUCAGCCGAAGAUAUCCACAGCUGAGCUCUGCAUCUUUCCAGUUCAUGGCUGAGCAGGGACUUGAAUACAGAUCUCAUUUCCCAUGUCUGACAUUCUCUCCAUAUCACCACACUAUGCUAUACUGCUAGUUUACAGUGAGAGCUGGACCAUAAAGAAAGCUGAUCGCUGAAGAAUUUAUGUUUUUGAAUUAUGGUGCUGGAGGAGACUCUAGAGAGUCCCAUGGACUGCAAGAAGAUCAAACCUAUCCAUUCUGAAGGAAAUCAGCCCUGAGUGCUUACUGGAAGGACAGAUCGUGAAGCUGAGACUCCAAGACGUUGGCCACCUCAUGAGAAGAGAAGACUCCCUGGAAAAGACCCUGAUGUUGGGAAAGAUGGAGGGCACAAGGAGAAGGGGAUGACAGAGGACGAGAUGGUUGGAUAGUGUUCUCAAAGCUACGAGCAUGAGUUUGACCAAGCUGCGGGAGGCAGAGGAAGACAGGAGUGCCUGGCGUGCUCUGGUCCAUGGGGUCACGAAGAGUCUGACAUGACUAAACGACUAAAGAACUACAACAGGGUGGAUUCUGUCUUGCUGUACCUGCACAAUGACCAGAAGGACUACAAACCAGUGGCAUCACUUCAUCCUUGUUGCAGUAGGCGCAUCAUAGGCCGUCUACACCUGACCCAGUACACCUCCUCUCCCCGACCAUGGUUGCCACCUGGUGUAUGUACCCAAUCGUCUUCCCUUUCGUGACUGCCACUUGGCGGCUAAAUCGUGAACUGCAACUCCUAACUCAUACAUCCAAUUCUCUCUCAACCCUUAGACAUUUUACAGCACCACUCCUUUGUUUACAAGGUAUCAGAGAGUUCUUUUGCAGAGUAAAAGUGGCAACUUUGACCGCCAUUAAUAGACCAAGAAAAAAUUAUGUACAGUGGUACCUCUGGAUGCGAAUGGAAUCCAUUCCAGACCCCGGUCACAUCCUGAAGUGAACGCAAUCCGUGUCUGCGUGUGUGCAGGUCACGAUUCGCCCGCUUCCGCGCAUGCGCAUGAUGUCAUUUUGACCAUCUGUGCAUGCACGAGUGGCAAAACCCGGAAGUAACGUGCUCUGUUACUUCCAGGUUGCCGCAGCGCGCAACCCGAAAAUAUUCAUUCCAAAGCUACUUCAACCCGAGGUAUGACUGUAUUUAUUUAGUAGUUAACAGCAUGGCCUAUGGCAAUUAUUAUAUUUUAUUUGCACUAGCCAGGUCUGAUAAUGGACAACUAAUUGGCACACUUAAUUGGGUUUAAAUUACUGGUGUCUUGUUAGACCUGGCAUCCCUCCCCCCACCUUCCUCUUUGUCCAAGGUGGUAUUCUGGGGUGGGGUGGGGGGUUGACAUGCAUUUAAUGUGCUGGUGGUUUUAAUUCUCUCUUUUUAUUUGCUACGCAAAUGCACAGUCGUUUGCAUGCUAAAAAAAGGCUCAGCACUUUGGACAGCACCAUUUUUUAUUUUUUUAUUGGCAGUCAGAUCCUCAUGAGUGACCAUAGCAACAAGGGGAUUUCCCUUAGUUUGCAUGGCAGGGGCAAUUCUCUGAGGCCCUCUCAUGCUGUAUUGUCCAGAAUUUAGACCUUAAGACUGUUAAAUUCAGAGAUGAGCCUCAAAUGAAAGAUCACAGUCCAGUAACUGGGUAAGUCUCAUUCCAGUGGUUCACUAGUAGCAGGGCACUCCUAUGAAAGAGGCUUCCAUCUCCCCACUCCUGGCUGUAUGUUUAAUUAGGUCUGUUUGUUUGUUUACGUAAAAACCACAAUUUCACAUAAGCUCUGCCCUUAAACUACUCUGGGGAUGGAUCCAGGGUGGGGAGGGUGCAAAACCUAUUUUCCAGAAACAGUCCUGGAUUUACAGAAGCCAUCCCAGUUUCAGAUAUGAUCCUGGAAUAUCCCAGUUUUUCUUAGGACACCCCUAUUCUUAUUGGAGAAAUGUUGGAGGGUAUGGAGUUAUGUGAGGGACGCGGGUGGUACUGUGGGUUGAACCACAGAGCCUAGGACUUGCCGAUCAGAAGGUCGGCGGUUCAAAUCCCCACGACAGGGUGAGCUCUUGUUGCUCGGUCCCUGCUCCUGCCAACCUAGCAGUUCGAAAGCACGUCAAAGUGCAAGUAGAUAAAUAGGUACCGCUCCGGUGGGAAGGUAAAUGGCGCUUCCGUGCACUGCUCUGGUUCGCCAGAAGCAGCUUAGUCAUGCUGGCCAAUAAAGCGAGAUGAGUGCCGCAACCUCAGAGUCGGCCAUGACUGGACCUAAUGGUCAGGGGUCCCAUUACCUUUAUUGAGUUAUGUGACCCUCCGAGCCAAUGAGAUAAAUAACUGUACAACCUUUAGAAGUCAUCUGAAGGCAGCCCUGUAUAGGGAAGUGGUUUUUUUAAAUGUUUAAUGAUUUAUUAUGUUUUUAUUUAUGUUGGAAGCCACCCAGAGUGGAUGGGGCAACACAAGUCAGAUGGGUGGUGUGUUGUUGUUGUUGUUGCAGAUGAUGAUGGAUAGGACUCCCUAUUUUCAUCAGAUAAAUAUUGGUGGGUAUGUGGGUGGUGCCCAGGUUAGCCUAGAGGGAGUCACCCCUGGACUGAAUCCACAGAGCCAAUAAGGGGUGCUGUGUAUAGCCCUAUUAAAAACACAAGUGCUUUUAUUAAAAAUACAGGUGACACUUUUUUUAGUCAAUCAAAAGUGUUUUAACUGAUGAACCUAAUUGACCGAAUGUUUCAGCUGUACAAAUAAUACAUUUUUGAAGCGAUUGGGCUUCAAAUAGGUGUUUGCCACCUAUGGUUACACUGGGCCAAAUUUCAAAUGCUCCAGAAAUGGUGCACGUGAUGUGGGCAGCUUCGUAUGCUAGGCAAGGCAACUUUCUUGUUGUGUUUGGGACUCUUUGCUAUUUUGCAAGGAAAGUACAUUUAUUAUUAUUGCCAGGUGACCAUUCGAGAAUAGAUGGCUCAGCUGACCUUUUCCAUCCAAAAUGCUGCAGUUUAUCACUGAGAGCACCGGUUCUGCAUUUUCUUUAAAGGAAUCAUUUCGAUGGAGUUUCUUACUUAAAAAAAAAAUCCUAGACAAGAGCGAUGGCUGAGGUGCAUGUGGGGAUUUGGCCUGGCAGAUCAAUUAUCUUCCAGAAGGCAGCAAACUGUAAAGAAGGAGGGAGAGAGAGACGAAGGAUAGGAAACCAGCUCCUUAAAAUGUUACAUUAGGGCACAGUAACAGCUCAUUAGAUUAUACAAGGUAGGUGUAAUUGCCCAGAAAAGAUGCACUGCCGUCUAGUGAUGCUUAAUUUCAUUGCUGAUCUUUACGUACCGCUACAGCCACUCAGGAGGUGAGAUCUCUACCCAGGAAUCCCUGUAGUUGAAAAAUGCACAGGCGUUGAGACACGCACAACACAAUUUGGCCGCGUCUAAGAUUUUCGGAAGCUGAAAGUGUGGCAACAAGCUUCUAGAGUUCAGAGUUAUAUGGGUGCCAUUUUUCCACUAACCCUUCACUGAAUAAUGGAUCUGCCCCCUGACUUGUCCUAUUGCAUAACAUGACAUCAGGGCCCAGGGCAUUCUGGGAAAAUGAAGAUGGCCGCCGCUGCCAUCACUUGCCCCUGUGCUUCUCAGUGGUGGGAUGAGGAAGAACCAGAUGGUUGGAGUCUCUGAAUUUUUCACCACCAUCACCAGUUUUCUUAUCCAUUUACAGUUAAUUUGUAAAUAUUCAAUAAACUAUUUCCAUUCUUUUAUAAAAAGUUAGUUAUCUUGAUUUCUUCCCCCCCCCCCCCAGUACUUUUCGCCAUUUCUGCAUAUUCCACCAGUUUUUGUAUACAUUCUUCUUUUCCUGUGACGACGACUUCUUUCCAUUUUGGGGCAAGUAACAUUCUUUCCACUGUAGUCACAUACAUGAAUCAAUUUCUAUACAGUUUGGAUAGUUCUGUACCUAUUAUUCCCAAAGGAAGCAACUUUCUUUAUGCCAUGCAUAAAGAACAUUAUUCCACAAAGAGGGGCUCUGUGGCUCCCAGAGAGGACUGUGGACACUUUUUCAUUCAAUAAACCUCCGUUGUGUCUUCUGGGUGUGCUGGGCCCGGGGGUUAACCCGAGCAACACGGUCCAGGUCCGGUUCCGAAUCCAAGGAUUUGGACGAGGAGUCAGUCCAACUGGGCCAAGGCAGGAAACCAGGCUAGGUCAGGCACAGGGUCUCAGGCAGGUUCCAGCAGGCAGCAGUGUUGCUCCCGCAACCUGGGGCGGGGUCCGACAGCCUUUUAUCUCUGACGGGGUAACGGUUAGGGUUAGGGUCCUGAUCCUCCGGUGACUCACCUCCCUGUUUCGCCCGAAGGCGAGUACUCCUCCUGCGAAUACUCAGGUCUCUCCUUCUCUCAGACCUUAGUCUCUGCAGCUUGGGAGACGUCGGUGGGUUACUAGAUCCAGAGGCCACCUCAGCCUCUCUUGACCCAACUGAUAGUGGAGCAGCUGUAAGUGAUGGCCCAGCUGAAGGCAACAAGGUAAUCCCCACAUCUGGAGCCAGGGCAGGCUCAGGCCCCUGAUUCGGCCCAGCUGGUGCUUGUUGCAGGGGAACCUGUGCAGACUGGGGCUCUUCAGAAUCAGGCCCCAGACUCAGUUCAGAUGCCGUCUGGUGCGGACUGAGACUCCUCUGGCUCCGAAUCCGAGCCCGAGUCCCAGGCCAUCACACCGGGCAUGCUUUUUGUCACUGCCACAAUGUGAUCCGUAGCAGCUAGCUCUGAUCUUUCCCGAACCCUUUUUCUUUUUGGAAAGGCUCUGUGUGGUACAUUCACCUCUUCUUCCUCACCCAUUCACACAGUCCAUCCAUCCUCAUUUGCUGCUCUCACGAUUCCUACCCCCCACCCCUGCUGGUUCAUAUGCAACACAUGGCAGCUCUGAGUGCUCUCCAGUGCAGAACUUGUAGGACAUCCAUUGAUUCUGCCUCGAUUGAGAAUGUUACGAUGGCAUUGGGGCAGAAAAUAGAGUGUGCUUUAAUGUGACACUUGAAGGCAUGUGCGAGCCAGACAAAUGGGGAGUGGGAACAGAGGCACAGCAGAGCGAGAGCAUUGUUUUUCUAUCUAGAAAAUAUUUUUUUAAAAUAAAAAUCAAGUUGUUGAAGUUUAAAAUCUCUCCCUGGGCGCUUAUCAUGCUGAGAUAUGAACAGUUUGUUAUGUUUCUUCCAGGUGGUAUGUAACUUUUCCCCAGAAGCAGAAGGUAACUCUGCAAGCGUUCCCCUCACCAUCGUAAUAUGAUAGUCAUCUUUAAACAUCUGAAGGGUCGUCGCAUGGAAGAUGGAGAAAGCUUGUUUCCUGCUGCUCCAAACCAAGGGAUUGAAAUGAAAAGGAAGGAAAUCUUGAGUAAACAUCGGGCACAACUUUCUGGUGGAAAGAGCUCUUUGACAGUGGAACUGUCUACCUUAGAAGGUGGUGGAACUUCACUGAAAGUUUUUAGCAGAGGUUGGAUGGGCAUCUGUCAGGGAUUCUUGAACUAGAUGGCACUUCCGACCUGCGAUGCUUCGAGCAAAAGGACAUAGCUCAGUGGUAAACAGAUCAUCUGUUUUUCAUGCAGA
rnacentral:lncRNA from 1 species